CCGGUGUUUGACCCAGCGGAGGACGGCAAAGAAACCAGCACCAGCGGGGCCAGGCCGUCUGUCUCAGGCACACUGGACCCUGAGGCCCUGGUGCGGGAGGAGCAGGCCAGCACCAUCUUCCAGUCUGAGCAGGGCAAGAAGAGCAUCGACAUCUACUGGCUCUUUGAUGACGGAGGCCUCACCCUCCUCAUCCCCUAUCUUCUCGGCCGCAAGAAGAGAUGGAGCAAAUGC